UGCUUGUUUGGUUAGUAAUAGGAAGUUAAAUCCUAUGUGAUUUGAAAUUACUAUGGCAAUUAUAAUAAAUGGGAAGUUAAAAUUUGUGUUUGGUUGAUAGAUGGGUUUUAACUUCCUAUAGGAAGUGCAAGUUACCAAGGGGGUGUAGGUCAAUAACUUCCUAUGUUUUGUGGGCAUUUAAAAUUCCAAGGAACUUACACUUCCCCGAUUAAUGUCAACCAAACAGUUUCAUCAAAUACUACUUCCUAGGAAUUUCUACUUCCCACAUAU
rnacentral:lncRNA from 1 species